GACGAACGCUGGCGGCGUGCUUAAUACAUGCAAGUCGAACGGAAAGGCACUGCGCUUGCGGGGUGCGCAUGAGGCGAAAGGGUGAGUAACACGCGAGUAACCUGUCCCUGACUUAGGGAGAACACCAGGAAACAGGGGCGAAUAUAGGACAGAAGCUCCUGCUGCACGGGGGGGGUGGGAAAGAUUCGGCGGUGGUGGAUGGACUCGCGGCUUAUCAGCUUGUUGGUGGGGUAGUGGCGUACCAAGGCUUCGACGGGUAGCCGACCUUAGAGGUUGACCGGCGCCAUUGCGACUGCGAUACGGCGCAGACUCCUACGGGCGGCAGCAGUGGGGAGUAUUGCGCAGUGGGCGGAAGCCUGAUGCGGCAGCGCCGCGUGCGUGAUGUCGGCCUUCGGGUUGUGAACCGCUUUCGCCUGUGACGAAGCGUGAGUGACGGUAAUGGGUAAAGAAGCACCGGCUAACUACGUG
rnacentral:rRNA from 1 species